UGUACAUCAGAAAAGGGUAUUUAUAACUAAAAUAGCACCUCACAUUAAGAUCAGUCAACUGCUAUUAAACUAACAUAUUAGGGGUUAUUAUGUAAAAUUGAUCCAAGCAAAGGCAUGAAAUCCACAUCUCUCGCAGCCUCAUACUUCAAUCCAUGUACUCAGUUGUUGGCUUGUCGUCGUUUUGCAGGCACCCACAAUCCCGUCAGCAAAUCGUAAGAGGGAGAAAAUAAACAAAUCAAAUAACAGAGAAAUUCCUCGGAUUGAUACAAUGUUGUAUUGAUAGUGCAAAGCGUCAACUUGGAAUUUACCUUGUGUGUCUUGUCUCCCAUGCCGGCUCUGCUGACUAAGAUUUUACAAUGAAAGAGCAGAAAAAUGGUCUUAGUUGCGCACACAAAAACAUUUAUUGGGUGAAAGAACUUUGUAUUGGUGCGGUAAUCCACUUCUGAGCCCGGGCUCAGCUGCACCUGCCCUGACGAAAAAAAUCAAAACAAAUACUAGAAAAAUUCCAUUAAAAAAUUACGUGGUAGAUAAUUUGAUGCACGAGGUUCCCUCCAAUUUCCCAACUAUUUGGAAAUCCGAGUAGCUCUCGGCAAAAAAAGACAAAUUCGGGGUCUGCAAAAAUGUUUAGUGUUCACGCACUAUUUUGACCCGAUUUGUUGUUUUUGCUGAGAGCUGCUCACAUGUCCAAAUGAUCUAAAAAUUGGAGCAAACCUCACGCAUCAAAUUAUUUACCACACAAAAAUUGGAAUUUUUCGAAUUUUUUAUUAUUUGUUUUGAUUUUUUUGACCGGGUACAGAUGAGUCUGGGCACCGAAACGCCGCACUCGUAUUGGUGAGUAUGGUUACAUCUAAUAAAUAAUAUCUUCUUAAGAACCAACAUCAUAUUUCUACAUAGAAAAGUCAAAAAGUAGAAGAUGCUAAAAGUUGCAAACAACAUCUUUCUUCAUUCAUUUUCUUCAUUGGUUAACUUCCAUUCUUUCUUAUUUUCUUUAUAUUUCAAAAUAGUCUAAUUAAUAUACUUCAGAACUUAAUUUAUGUAAAAUUUCAAAAAAUUCACCGUGCAUAAAAAAAUGUAAUACAUUGUGAAAAUUUGAUCAUGCAAUUUAGGAAAUGUUUGUACUGAUUUGAAGAAUUUUUGUUGUUGUUUGAUUUAUUUGUUUUCUUCCUCUUACGGUUCGUGUGUCUUAAAAAAUGUUUGUGAUAUUUUUAAAUAUGUUUAUAAACUUAAAAUAAAAGCUCAUAUAAAUUUAAUAAAAAAGUGCAUAAUUCCAUUAAAAAACCAAGCUCGUUAAUGAUAUAAAAAAAUGUACACGUGUCUCAAAACAUUGUUCAUGAAAUUUUUACAAAUGUUCAUUUAAUGAAAAAAUGUUCACUUAAGUAUAAAAGAUGUUUAACACCAUUAGAAAAGUGUACAUGACAUUUAAAAAUAUUUCACAUUCAUAAAAAAAAUUUAGUGUCAUUUUUAGAAAAAAUAUCCAAAUAAUGUGAACAAUGUUUGGGGUAAUAUAUAUAAAAUGUUUCGUACCAUUCACAAAAAUGUUGAACGUGUAUUUGAUAAUAUUCAACAUUUUAUGUAAAGAAGCAUUUAAACAUAUAUUUCAAAAUAAUAUUCAUCAUGUAUUUGAAAAAUGUUCAACGCAUAACAAAAAAUGUUACACAUGUAUACACAAAAUGUACAACGUGUAUUGAGAAAAGUUGACAUUUAUUUGAAAGUAAGGUAAAAGAAUAAUUUGGUAAAAUAAAAAAUGGAUUAAGGAACAUAGGAAAAAUAUUAGAAAAAAUACCGCAUUGAAGUUCUUAAAACUGGUCCAAACCUGUCUAAAGAAUUUUCCCGAAUUCACUGUAUGGGCCGGCCCUGCACUGUAGAUCAUGUAGGGGUUUAGGAAGAUUCCUAUAGUCUGGUUCGUACCGACCUUAGAACCUUCCUUAUUGUUGUUUCUAUGUGUUUUUUAUCGGUGUUUCAUUUGGUUUUUUUCUUCACUAUCUUUUUCAACAUAUGUCUACUCUUCAAUAGUCAAUACACACUGUAUAUUUUUAGUAUGCAUGCGAAACAUUUUUUUACAAAGUUGAAAGUUUUUUAAAUACAUGCUUUAAACAUUGCGAAUAUAUGUUAAACAUUUGUCAAUACAUGGUGAACAUUUUUAACGGCGUUAAACAUUUAUUUAAAUUAUGCGAACAUUGCUUUAUCUUAUAUAUACUUAAAUGUGAGAGCUNNNNNNNNNNNNNNNNNNNNNNNNNNNNNNNNNNNNNNNNNNNNNNNNNNNNNNNNNNNNNNNNNNNNNNNNNNNNNNNNNNNNNNNNNNNNNNNNNNNNNNNNNNNNNNNNNNNNNNNNNNNNNNNNNNNNNNNNNNNNNNNNNNNNNNNNNNNNNGCUAUUGGUAGGUAUCAUAUCCAUGUACCUCUUAUCAAGAGGGCAAUUAAAGUGUCAUUCAUAUUCAUGUACAUCAGAAAAGGGUAUUUAUAACUAAAAUAGCACCUCACAUUAAGAUCAGUCAACUGCUAUUAAACUACUCUCUCCGUUUGGAAUUACUUGUCGCAGAAAUGGAUGCAUCUAGAUAUAUUUUAGUUCUAGAUACAUUCAUUUCCGAGACAAGUAAUUCUGAACGGAGGGAGUAACAUAUUAGGGGUUAUUAUGUAAAAUUGAUCCAAGCAAAGGCAUGAAAUCCACAUCUCUCGCAGCCUCAUACUUCAAUCCAUGUACUCAGUUGUUGGCUUGUCGUUGUUUUGCAGGCACCCACAAUCCCGUCAGCAAAUCGUAAGAGGGAGAAAAUAAAUAAAUCAAACAAUAGAAAAAUUCCUCGGAUUGAUACAAUGUUGUAUUGAUAGCGCAAAGCGUCAACUUGGAAUUUACCUUGUGUGUCUUGUCUCCCAUGCCGGCUCUGCUGACUAAGAUUUUACAAUGAAAGAGCAGAAAAAUGGUCUUAGUUGCGCACACAAAAACAUUUAUUGGGUGAAAGAACUUUGUAUUGGUGCGGUAAUCCACUUCUGAGCCCGGGCUCAGCUGCACCUGCCCUGACGAAAACAAUUCAAAACAAAUACUAGAAAAAUUCCAUUCAAAAAAAAUGUGUGGUAGAUAAUUUGAUGCACGAGGUUCCCUCCAAUUUCCCAACUAUUUGAAAAUCUGAGUAGCUCUCGGCAAAAAAGACAAAUUCAGGGUCUGUAAAAAUGUUUAGUGUUCACGCACUGUUCUGACAUGAUUUGUUGUUUUUGCUGAGAGCUGCUCACACAUCCAAAUGAUCUAAAAAUUGGAGCGAACCUUACGCAUCAAAUUAUUUACCACACAAAAAAUGAUUUUUUUAUUAUUUGUUUUGAUUUUUUUGACCAGGUGCAGAUGAGCCUGGUCACCGAAACGCCGCACUCGCAUUGGUGAGUAUAGUUACAUCUGAUAAACAGUAUCGUCUUAAGAACCAACAUCACAUUUCUACGUAGAAAAGUGAAAAGGUAGAAGAUGCUAAAAAUUGCAAAAAACAACAUCUUUCUUCAUACAUGUUUUUCGUUGGUUAACUUCCAUUCUUUCUUAUUUUCUUUAUAUUUCUACAUAGUUUAAUUAAUAUACUUCAGAACUUAAUUUAUGAAAAAUUUCAAAAAAUUAACUGUGCAUAAAAAAUGUUAAUACGUUGUGAAAAUUUGAUUAUGCAAUUUAGGAAAUGUUUGUACUGAUUUGAAGAAUUUUUGUUGUUGUUUGAUUUAUUAGUUUUCUUCCUCUUACGGUUCGUGUGUCUUAAAAAAUGUUUGUGAUAUUUUUAAAUAUGUUUAUAAACUUAAAAUAAAAGCUCAUAUAAAUUUAAUAAAAAAAGUGCAUAAUGCCAUUAAAAAACCAAGCUCGUGAAUGAUAUAAAAAAAUGUACACGUGUCUCAAAACAUUGUUCAUGAAAUUUUUACAAAUGUUUAUUUAAUGAAAAAAUGUUCACUUAAGUAUAAAA
rnacentral:lncRNA from 1 species